AUGCAUAAUCAGAUUAUUUAGGCC
rnacentral:siRNA from 1 species